rnacentral:lncRNA from 1 species
ACCGAGAAGAACGGCUGCUUUUCAACAGAGGUCUUGAUGUCUUCCUUCAACCUGAGCAACUACAGACUGCAGAAGGAAUUCCAAGUGAAGGCAUCGCUGGUGGAGGAGGGGACAGGUAGGAGUGCUGGUGGGAGUGUUUUUGCAUUCAUCCCUGUGUGCACCCAAAUGCACACAGCAUGGAGGCAUCGGUCUCUCCAGGGAAGCCCGUGAGUAGUGUUGUGAUUUAGAGGUACAGGUGUGCAGGAAUCAGGCUCAGGCUAAGCUGUGCCCUGUGUCGCCAAGACACACUCAUCUCCCCGCUCCUUCUCCACAGGGGUGGAGAUGAACAACACCAAGACCUGCAGAAUUUUGCACAAAAUCUUCACGGUCACCUUUGAAAACACUGAUGACUUCUACAAGCGUGGGCUGCCCUACACUGGGACGGUAAUGGGGGUUCCUGGCAGCCCCACUCCCCACCCCUGCCCUGUGCCUUCAGCCCAAGGCAUGCCUCUCGCCUUUCCUCUCUGCAGAUGCAGCUGAAGGGAGCAGAUGGCUCUGCCCUGGAGGGGCAGCAGCUGGUGCUCAUCGUUAACAAUGAGAAAGAACACAGCUUCCUGACGGACAAAUCUGGGAGAGCCUCCUUUGAGCUGGACACCUCUGGCUGGCGUAACAGAGUCACCCUGACUGGCAAAGUCAACACGUCGGCUCACAGCCAGGAUGGUGCCUCAUUACCCACCUUCAACGCAGCUUAUUUGAACCUCAGCCCCUUCUUUUCGAAGAGCCAGAGCUUCCUGCAUAUCCGCCGGCUGGAGGGCAAGCUGUCCUGCAGCCAGCCCAAGCAGCUCCACGUGGAUUAUACCCUCAACAAGGAGGCUCUGGGGAGCGAGCUGCAGAGCCUGGACGUUGUCUUCCUGGUGAGUCUUCAUCUGGGGAGGAAGGGCAGCAGGUGUAACGGCAUGGAUUCCUUAUCUACACACAAGUGCAUGGCUGUGUCCUGGAGAGUCAGGCUAUGGUUGCUCUCCGUUGGCUAG